AAAUAGUUUCAGCCUUCCCGUUCCCCAUCCUUAGCUGUCCUGCGGCACACACGUGGAGCAAGCAGAGAGGGGCGUGGUCCAGCCUACUGCAUCAAUGAUGGUGCUGCCCUGUGCCUGUUCAGCAUUGAAAACUAUGUUCAUGUGAAAAUCAUGAGUAAAAUUAAUAAAUCAUAAAUGUAGGACUCAGCCAGGAUCUGAUUUUAAAGCUAACACAAAACCAACAAAUACAUCAAGGAAAUGAUAGAAGAAUCACAAAGGACUGAAGAUUGACAAAUGUGGAGGCUG
rnacentral:lncRNA from 1 species